rnacentral:tRNA from 2 species
AGGGAAGUGACAGAAUAUGUGUUUGACUUGAAAUCAAAAGAUAGAGGUAAUAACCCUCUCUUCCCUU